UGGGGAAUCUUGCGCAAUGGGCGAAAGCCUGACGCAGCCAUGCCGCGUGGAUGAUGAAGGUCUUAGGAUUGUAAAAUCCUUUCACCGGUGAAGAUAAUGACUGUAGCCGGAGAAGAAGCCCCGGCUAACUUCGUGCCAGCAGCCGCGGUAAUACGAAGGGGGCUAGCGUUGCUCGGAAUUACUGGGCGUAAAGGGAGCGUAGGCGGACAUUUAAGUCAGGGGUGAAAUUCCGAGGCUCAACCUCGGAACUGCCUUUGAUACUGGGUGUCUUGAGUGUGAGAGAGGUAUGUGGAACUCCGAGUGUAGAGGUGAAAUUCGUAGAUAUUCGGAAGAACACCAGUGGCGAAGGCGACAUACUGGCUCAUUACUGACGCUGAGGCUCGAAAGCGUGGGGAGCAAACAGGAUUAGAUACCCUGGUAGUCCACGCCGUAAACGAUGAUUGCUAGUUGUCGGGAAGCUUGCUUUUCGGUGACGCAGCUAACGCAUUAAGCAAUCCGCCUGGGGGAGUACGGUCGCAAGAUUAAAAC
rnacentral:rRNA from 1 species